GUUGGCAACAUUGCGCACUGACGUCAAUGAACCUCAGUCAGUGAAUCCUGGGCCUGGGAAGUAAGAAGUGCAGUGGGGAGAGCAAGACCUGAGCCCUAGGACCAUGCCUCAGGACUACCUGGCAUGAUGACUCCUUGCUGUUCCCAGUCCACCUGGCCGUGCUGCUGCUCCAGUUUCAACUGUUCUGCCUGUGAUUAUUAUUAUUUGACCAUGCUGUUCAUUUAUGAACAUUUGAACAUCUUGGCCAUGUUCUGUUAUAAUCUCCACCCGGCACAGCCAGAAGAGGACUGGCCACCCCACAUAGCCUGGUUCCUCUCUAGGUUUCUUCCUAGGUUUUGGCCUUUCUAGGGAGUUUUUCCUAGCCACUGUGCUUCUACACCUGCAUUGCUUGCUGUUUGGGGUUUUAGGCUGGGUUUCUGUACAGCACUUUGAGAUAUCAGCUGAUGUACGAAGGUCUAUAUAAAUACAUUUUAAAUUAUGAAAAA